GCAGUGUACCCGCGGCAAGACGGAAAGACCCCGUGAACCUUUACUAUAGCUUGACACUGAACAUUGAGCCUUGAUGUGUAGGAUAGGUGGGAGGCUUUGAAGUGUGGACGCCAGUCUGCAUGGAGCCGACCUUGAAAUACCACCCUUUAAUGUUUGAUGUUCUAACGUGGACCCGUAAUCCGGGUUGCGGACAGUGUCUGGUGGGUAGUUUGACUGGGGCGGUCUCCUCCUAAAGAGUAACGGAGGAGCACGAAGGUUGGCUAAUCCUGGUCGGACAUCAGGAGGUUAGUGCAAUGGCAUAAGCCAGCUUGACUGCGAGCGUGACGGCGCGAGCAGGUGCGAAAGCAGGUCAUAGUGAUCCGGUGGUUCUGAAUGGAAGGGCCAUCGCUCAACGGAUAAAAGGUACUCCGGGGAUAACAGGCUGAUACCGCCCAAGAGUUCAUAUCGACGGCGGUGUUUGGCACCUCGAUGUCGGCUCAUCACAUCCUGGGGCUGAAGUAGGUCCCAAGGGUAUGGCUGUUCGCCAUUUAAAGUGGUACGCGAGCUGGGUUUAGAACGUCGUGAGACAGUUCGGUCCCUAUCUGCCGUGGGCGCUGGAGAACUGAGGGGGGCUGCUCCUAGUACGAGAGGACCGGAGUGGACGCAUCACUGGUGUUCGGGUUGUCAUGCCAAUGGCACUGCCCGGUAGCUAAAUGCGGAAGAGAUAAGUGCUGAAAGCAUCUAAGCACGAAACUUGCCCCGAGAUGAGUUCUCCCUGAGACUUAGAGUCUCCUGAAGGAACGUUGAAGACGACGACGUUGAUAGGCCGGGUGUGUAAGCGCAGCGAUGCGUUGAGCUAACCGGUACUAAUGAACCGUGAGGCUUAACCUUAC
rnacentral:rRNA from 1 species